GAGGCACGUCGGAAGAAUAAGCUAGAGGAGAUCACCAACCACAGAUUCGAACAGCUCAUGCAUGUGAGUUCUUCUUUUUUUAUUUCUCUUUUUGUUUUCUUUUCACUUCGAUGAAUAAUCGACCUGAAUCUAAACCUUUGUCUUACAGGUCACUGUUGACUUUAAGAUUAUGUAUGAGAACAUGGCUUACCUGUUAAAGAAUAAAGAGGCCAUG
rnacentral:lncRNA from 1 species